rnacentral:tRNA from 1 species
GCCGAAGUGGCGGAACGGCAGACGCGGCGGACUUAAAAUCCGCUGCCCGCAAGGGCGUGUGAGUUCGAUUCUCACCUUCGGCACCA